rnacentral:rRNA from 1 species
GACGAACGCUGGCGGCGUGCUUAACACAUGCAAGUCGUACGGUAAGGCCCUUUCGGGGGUCCACGAGUGGCGAACGGGUGAGUAACACGUGAGUAACCUGCCCACAACUUUGGGAUAACGCUAGGAAACUGGUGCUAAUACUGGAUAUGUGCUCCUGCUGGAUGGUGGGGGUUGGAAAGGUCCGGAGGUUGUGGAUGGACUCGCGGCCUAUCAGCUUGUUGGUGGGGUAGUGGCCUACCAAGGCGGCGACGGGUAGCCGGCCUGAGAGGGUGACCGGCCACAUUGGGACUGAGAUACGGCCCAGACGCCGACACUAAUCAACAUUUUUUAAUAUUUCACAAUAUACACAAUCCUCAUCCAGCAACGCCGCGUGCGGGAUGACGGCCUUCGGGUUGUAAACCUCGUUCAUCAUCUACUAAGCUUUUUGUAACUAUCCCUUCAUAAAAACCACCGGCUAACUACCUG